rnacentral:rRNA from 1 species
AUUGAACGCUGGCGGCAUGCCUUACACAUGCAAGUCGAACGGCAGCAUGAUCUAGCUUGCUAGAUUGAUGGCGAGUGGCGAACGGGUGAGUAAUACAUCGGAACGUGCCCUGUAGUGGGGGAUAACUAGUCGAAAGAUUAGCUAAUACCGCAUACGACCUGAGGGUGAAAGUGGGGGACCGCAAGGCCUCAUGCUAUAGGAGCGGCCGAUGUCUGAUUAGCUAGGUGGUGGGGUAAAGGCCCACCAAGGCGACGAUCAGUAGCUGGUCUGAGAGGACGAUCAGCCAGACUGGGACUGAGACACGGCCCAGACUCCUACGGGAGGCAGCAGUGGGGAAUUUUGGACAAUGGGCGAAAGCCUGAUCCAGCAAUGCCGCGUGUGUGAAGAAGGCCUUCGGGUUGUAAAGCACUUUUGUCCGGAAAGAAAUGGCUCUGGUUAAUACCUGGGGUCGAUGACGGUACCGGAAGAAUAAGGACCGGCUAACUACGUGCCAGCCGCCGCGGUAAUAC